rnacentral:rRNA from 1 species
AGUCGAACGAUGAAGCUUCUAGCUUGCUAGAAGUGGAUUAGUGGCGCACGGGUGAGUAAGGUAUAGUUAAUCUGCCCUACACAAGAGGACAACAGUUGGAAACGACUGCUAAUACUCUAUACUCCUGCUUAACACAAGUUGAGUAGGGAAAGUUUUUCGGUGUAGGAUGAGACUAUAUAGUAUCAGCUAGUUGGUAAGGUAAUGGCUUACCAAGGCUAUGACGCUUAACUGGUCUGAGAGGAUGAUCAGUCACACUGGAACUGAGACACGGUCCAGACUCCUACGGGAGGCAGCAGUAGGGAAUAUUGCGCAAUGGGGGAAACCCUGACGCAGCAACGCCGCGUGGAGGAUGACACUUUUCGGAGCGUAAACUCCUUUUCUUAGGGAAGAAUUCUGACGGUACCUAAGGAAUAAGCACCGGCUAACUCCGUGCCAGCAGCCGCGGUAAUACGGAGGGUGCAAGCGUUACUCGGAAUCACUGGGCGUAAAGGGCGCGUAGGCGGAUUAUCAAGUCUCUUGUGAAAUCUAAUGGCUUAACCAUUAAACUGCUUGGGAAACUGAUAGUCUAGAGUGAGGGAGAGGCAGAUGGAAUUGGUGGUGUAGGGGUAAAAUCCGUAGAUAUCACCAAGAAUACCCAUUGCGAANGCGAUCUGCUGGAACUCAACUGACGCUAAGGCGCGAAAGCGUGGGGAGCAAACAGGAUUAGAUACCCUGGUAGUCCACGCCCUAAACGAUGUACACUAGUUGUUGGGAUGCUAGUCAUCUCAGUAAUGCAGCUAACGCAUUAAGUGUACCGCCUGGGGAGUACGGUCGCAAGAUUAAAACUCAAAGGAAUAGACGGGGACCCGCACAAGCGGUGGAGCAUGUGGUUUAAUUCGAAGAUACGCGAAGAACCUUACCUGGGCUUGAUAUCCUAAGAACCUUAUAGAGAUAUGAGGGUGCUAGCUUGCUAGAACUUAGAGACAGGUGCUGCACGGCUGUCGUCAGCUCGUGUCGUGAGAUGUUGGGUUAAGUCCCGCAACGAGCGCAACCCACGUAUUUAGUUGCUAACGGUUCGGCCGAGCACUCUAAAUAGACUGCCUUCGUAAGGAGGAGGAAGGUGUGGACGACGUCAAGUCAUCAUGGCCCUUAUGCCCAGGGCGACACACGUGCUACAAUGGCAUAUACAAUGAGACGCAAUACCGCGAGGUGGAGCAAAUCUAUAAAAUAUGUCCCAGUUCGGAUUGUUCUCUGCAACUCGAGAGCAUGAAGCCGGAAUCGCUAGUAAUCGUAGAUCAGCCAUGCUACGGUGAAUACGUUCCCGGGUCUUGUACUCACCGCCCGUCACACCAUGGGAGUUGAUUUCACUCGAAGCCGGAAUACUAA